rnacentral:lncRNA from 1 species
UAAAAGUUAAAAUUCAAUUCAAAAUAUAAUUUAAUAAUAAAAAGAAAAACAAAAUAAAAAACAAAGACAUAAAUAUGACUGGAACUGUCCUAGUAUGGUUUGGCUUUCCAUGUUGCCCACUUUAGAGUGUCAUUUUCUUCGUUAGACCAUCUCGUGUAUUGUAUUAAUUCUCUCAAUGUGUUAAUAUCGUCUAACAAUGGUUUGUGCGACCAAUGAAUUGAACAGGUUUUCCCUACAUUGAUA